rnacentral:snRNA from 11 species
AUAUUUACCUGUCAGGGGAGAUACCAUGAUCAAAAAGCAGUUUGCCAAGAAUGAGGGGCAUGCAUUGCACUGCAGAUUUGCUCACCCCUGCAAUUUCUCCAAAUAUAGAGAACUCAUCUGCAUAAUUUGGGGAAUGGGGGACUGCAUUUGCACUUCUCUC